UGUCGUCAGCUCGUGUCGUGAGAUGUUCGGUUAAGUCCGCUAACGAGCGCAACCCUCGUCGUAUGUUAUAUGUGUCAUACGAGACUGCCGGUAAAAGCCGGAGGAAGGUGAGGAUGAUGUCAAGUCAGCAUGACCUUUAUAUCCAGGGCUACACACACGCUACAAUGGUCUGUACAAUGGGUAGCCAAGCCGCGAGGCGGAGCCAAUCCUGAAAGCAGGCCUCAGUUCAGAUUGCAGUCUGCAACUCGACUGCAUGAAGCCGGAGUUGCUAGUAACCGCAGGUCAGCACACUGCGUUGAAUACGUUCUCGGGCCUU
rnacentral:rRNA from 1 species